GACGUAGGGGGCCAGCGUUGUUCGGAAUUACUGGGUGUAAAGGGUGCGUAGGCGGCGCGGUAAGUCGGGUGUGAAAUCUCGGAGCUUAACUCCGAAACUGCAUUCGAUACUGCCGUGCUUGAGGACUGGAGAGGAGACUGGAAUUUACGGUGUAGCGGUGAAAUGCGUAGAUAUCGUAAGGAAGACCAGUGGCGAAGGCGGGUCUCUGGACAGUUCCUGACGCUGAGGCACGAAGGUCAGGGGAGCAAACGGG
rnacentral:rRNA from 1 species